AGCACAGAAGUUGGUGAGAUGGCAAAGCAGUAUAUAGAGAAAAGUCUUUUGGUUCCAGACCAUGUGAUCACAUACCUAAUGAUGUCUGAGUUGGAGAAUAGGUGUGGCCAGCACUGGCUCCUCGAUGGUUUUCCUAGGACAUUAGGACAAGCCGAAGCCCUGGACAAAAUCUGUGAAGUGGAUCUAGUGAUCAGUUUGAACAUUCCAUUUGAAACACUUAAAAGAUCGUCUCAGCCGCCGUUGGAUUCACCCUCCUAGCGGAAGGGUAUAUAACCUGGACUUCAAUCCACCUCAUGUUCAUGGUAUUGAUGUACUGGUGAACCAUUAGUCCAGCAGGAGGAUGAUAAACCUGAAGCAGUUGCUGCCAGGCUAAGACAGUACAAAGACAUGGCAAAGCCAGUCAUUGAAUUAUACAAAAGCCAAGGAGUGCUCCACCAAUUUUCUGGGAUGGAGACGAACAAAAUCUGACCCUACAUUUACACACUUUUCUCGAACAAGAUCACACCUAUUCAGUCCAAAGAAGCAUAU
rnacentral:lncRNA from 1 species